rnacentral:misc_RNA from 1 species
UCUCAGCCAGGCGUGGUGGAAUUC